CUUCCGUAGGUGAACCUGCGGAAGGAUCAUUAAAUAAUCAAUAAUUUUGGCUUGUCCAUUAUUAUCUAUUUACUGUGAACUGUAUUAUUACUUGACGCUUGAGGGAUGCUCCACUGCUAUAAGGAUAGGCGGUGGGGAUGCUAACCGAGUCAUACAUCAAGCUUAGGCUUGGUAUCCUAUUAUUAUUUACCAAAAGAAUUCAGAAUUAAUAUUGUAACAUAGACCUAAAAAAUCUAUAAAACAACUUUUAACAACGGAUCUCUUGGUUCUCGCAUCGAUGAAGAACGUAGCAAAGUGCGAUAACUAAUGUGAAUUGCAUAUUCAGUGAAUCAUCGAGUCUUUGAACGCAACUUGCGCUCAUUGGUAUUCCAAUGAGCACGCCUGUUUCAGUAUCAAAACAAACCCUCUAUCCAACAUUUUGUUGAAUAGGAAUACUGAGAGUCUCUUGAUCUAUUCUGAUCUCGAACCUCUUGAAAUGUACAAAGGCCUGAUCUUGUUUGAAUGCCUGAACUUUUUUUUAAUAUAAAGAGAAGCUCUUGCGGUAAACUGUGCUGGGGCCUCCCAAAUAAUACUUUUUUUAAAUUUGAUCUGAAAUCAGUGCCGGGAUUACCGGACUGAGGGACUUAAGCAUAUCAAUAAGCGGAGGA
rnacentral:rRNA from 1 species